UACGGAGGUGGCAAGCGUUGUCCGGAAUUAUUGGGCGUAAAGGGCUUGUAGGCGGUUUGUCGCGUCCGGAGUGAAAACCUUGGGCUUAACUCAGGGCUUGCUUUCGAUACGGGCAGACUAGAGGUAUGCAGGGGAGAACGGAAUUCCUGGUGUAGCGGUGAAAUGCGCAGAUAUCAGGAGGAACACCGGUGGCGAAGGCGGACCUCUGGGCCUUCCCUGACGCUGAGGCACGAAAGCUAGGGGAGCGAACAGG
rnacentral:rRNA from 1 species